UACCCNGNNGNAAACUAAGCAUAUCAAUAAGCGGAGGAAAAGAAACCAACAGGGAUUGCCCUAGUAACGGCGAGUGAAGCGGCAACAGCUCAAAUUUGAAAUCUGGCUUUCGGGUCCGAAUUGUAAUUUGUAGAGGAUGCUUUUGGCGCGGUGCCUUCCGAGUUCCCUGGAACGGGACGCCUUAGAGGGUGAGAGCCCCGUACGGUUGGACACCAAGCCUCUGUAAAGCUCCUUCGACGAGUCGAGUAGUUUGGGAAUGCUGCUCUAAAUGGGAGGUAAAUUUCUUCUAAAGCUAAAUAUUGGCCAGAGACCGAUAGCGCACAAGUAGAGUGAUCGAAAGAUGAAAAGCACUUUGAAAAGAGGGUUAAAUAGCACGUGAAAUUGUUGAAAGGGAAGCGUUUGCGACCAGACCUUUUCCUAGCGGAUCAUCCGGUGUUCUCACCGGUGCACUUCGCUAGGUUGAGGCCAGCAUCGGUUUCUGUAGGGGGAUAAAAGCUUGGGGAAUGUAGCUCCUUCGGGAGUGUUAUAGCCCCUUGCAUAAUACCCUUACGGGGACCGAGGACCGCGCUUCGGCAAGGAUGCUGGCAUAAUGGUCGUCAACGACCCGUCUUGAAACACGGACCAAGGAGUCGAACAUUUGUGCGAGUGUUUGGGUGUCAAACCCUCACGCGUAAUGAAAGUGAACGGAGGUGAGAGCCCUUACGGGUGCAUCAUCGACCGAUCCUGAUGUCUUCGGAUGGAUUUGAGUAAGAGCAUAACUGUUNGGACCCGAAAGAUGGUGAANUANGCGUNNANNNCNNGANNCCANANGANNUUCCGUUNGNNUAGGCAUUCCUUCNCNUNAGCANNNNNGUUCCCUCANGNNAGCANCNCCGUUCCNUCANGAUCGCAGUAC
rnacentral:rRNA from 1 species